UGGGGAAUAUUGCACAAUGGGCGCAAGCCUGAUGCAGCCAUGCCGCGUGUAUGAAGAAGGCCUUCGGGUUGUAAAGUACUUUCAGCGGGGAGGAAGGGAGUAAAGUUAAUAUCUUUGCUCAUUGACGUUACCCGCAGAAGAAGCACCGGCUAACUCCGUGCCAGCAGCCGCGGUAAUACGGAGGGUGCAAGCGUUAAUCGGAAUUACUGGGCGUAAAGCGCACGCAGGCGGUUUGUUAAGUCAGAUGUGAAAUCCCCGGGCUCAACCUGGGAACUGCAUCUGAUACGGGCAAGCUUGAGUCUCGUAGAGGGGGGUAGAAUUCCAGGUGUAGCGGUGAAUGCGUAGAGAUCUGGAGGAAUAACGGUGGCGAAGGCGGCCACCUGGACGAAGACUGACGCUCAGGUGCGAAAGCGUGGGGAGCAAACAGG
rnacentral:rRNA from 1 species